rnacentral:lncRNA from 1 species
GGAGAAACACAGUUGGGAAUCGGCCAAAUGGUGCUACAGUGUGAGAUCGGCCGGUGACUUCUGUCUCGCUUCGGGUCGAAUGUACCAGAGUCCCAAUCGGUAGCCUUUUGCCGAUGAGGAAUCGGCCGAUUAGGAGGAUGGGUUAAAUGGGCCUGUAUGGGCUUGGAAAGGGAUAAAAGGAUGAGGUGGAAAUCAGCCCACGAAGCGUGGAGUAACCAACUUAGCACGAAUCGUGCUUGUAGAUAUUCGUUUUCUGUUUGAAUUAGGGAUAGAAUUCUAGUCGGUUAAGAAGUUAUCUGUACGGGGCUAUAAAUAGCUACCUUUGUAAAUCUGUAAUCAUCAACCAAUCAAUACAACAUACUACUUUUUCCUCGUACUUAUUUUCAAGCAGGCGACUUCGCCAACACCUUUCUCUUUUUCACGAGUUCGUGCGGAUUGGCAGGGCUGCAUUAGUUUGAUCUCCGGCCGAUUCUAUAAGUUCCGCUUAUCGAGUAAUAUCUAAGCUUUAACUACUGGCGUAUCGCUGUUGUUUCGUUUAGAUUUAUUCACCAUUUAUCGAUAUUUACUAGAAUCAUAGGGUUUUACCUAUUUUUUCUAGUUUUAUCACCAGUUAUCCAGCUAGGAAUCGGUAGUGUCGGCUUUCUUUACUUUCUGCUAUCAAACUCAUCUGUUGCCGAUUAGAUCUAUUCCUAGUGUUGUUAUCAUAGCUUUGUAUCGAUUACUCUGGUAAUUUUCUGUUUACAAGGCUACAGUGAUCGGCUGUUUUAUAGACGAUUCCUUUACUAAGGCAAAUCGGCCGAUUCGCUGACAAGCUCUCUCAAGAUCGGAAACUUAGCCGAUCGUGAUUUCUGAACCUGACACGUAUCCUUCCUUGCCAAUCAACAGGUCAGAUUGGCUGGCACGCCGCGCCAACCGCACCAGGGCAAUCACCCGAACAGGAGCUAAGCAGAUUCUCCCGGGUCGUGUGUCGGACGCUGGGAUUCGGUUGACCGAUUUCUAGCGCCAACACACUUUUGGCACGCCUGGUGGGACACGGUUAUAAGGCUCACAUUUUUAUUCAAUAAAAAAGCAUCUUCAGCAGCUGUAUCAAGUUCAUCGGCAUCGGCGUGUUGGAGUUAAUUCAAAUCAAUAUAAUAUUCCAACUAGAAGAGCCGAUGGUACAGAAAGAUGAUCUUAAUUUCAAUCGGCUGCACAUUGUAUAGAUAAAUUUGAUGCUAGAUCAAUUACGGAGGAAACCGAUACAACAUCGACACCAUUAUUCCUUACUGAUGUUAUAUAUCGGCCAGUUCAGAGGAAACAAGUAUCGGCUGGGCACAUAGUAGCUGUUUUUUAUCAGCCAAAGGAAUCAAAGCAUCGGCUGAUGGAAUAUAAUCGGCAAGCAUAGUGGCCGAUGGAAUUAUUUUUUUUAGCCAAUGGAACUUUUUUUUUCAGCCGAUAGAAGUAUUUUUCAGCUGAUGCAACAUUUUUUUAGCCGAUUGGAAAAGCUCCAGCGGGUGGGCAAGAGAGAAAUAAAAAAAUGCAUCGGCAGUUGUAUCGGCUGAUUGGAAGAAUUAAAAGGGAUCGGCCGAUUGGAAAUUGCAUCGGCUGAUGGAAAAUGGGAUCGGCCGAUUGGAGUUGUAUCGGCUGAUUGGAAGAAUUAAAAGGGAUCGGCCGAUUGGAAAUUGCAUCGGCUGAUGGAAAAUGGGAUCGGCCGAUUGGAGUUGUAUCAGCUGAUUAAGAAAAAAAAACAACGGCCGAUCGUAGAGAAAGACAUCGGCUGAUUAGCGUCAGCCUGUUGGAAUUAAAAGAAAAAAAAAACAGAGAGAGGCAUCGGCCGAUUAGCUUCAGCCAGUUGGAAUUGAAAGAAAAAAAACAAGCGUGGCAUCGGCCGAUGGAAAAUUGGUAUUGCCGAUUGUUGACGCCAGAUUUCGUCACUAAUAGAAUCGGCGCCAAGAAGAGAGGGAAUCGGAGGAGCACAGUUGGGAAUCGGCCAAAUGGUGCUACAGUGUGAGAUCGGCCGGUGACUUCUGUCUCGUUUCGGGUCAAAUAUACCAGAAUCCCAAUCGGUAGCCUUUUGCCGAUGAGGAAUCGGCCGAUUAGGAGGAUGGGUUAAUUGGGCCUGUAUGGGCUUGGAAUAGAAGGAUGAGGUGGAAAUCAGCCCACGAAGCGUGGAGUAACUAACCUAGCACGAAUCGUGCUUGUAGAUAUUUGUUUUCUGUUUGAAUUAGGGAUAGAAUUCUAGUCGGUUAAGAAAUCAUCUGUACGGGGCUAUAAAUAGCUACCUUUGUAAAUCUUUAAUCAUCAAC